GGAGUGGAGCCUGCGGCUUAAUUUGACUCAACACGGGGAACCUCACCCGGCCCGGACACCGCGAGGAUUGACAGAUUGAGAGCUCUUUCUCGAUUCGGUGGGUGGUGGUGCAUGGCCGUUCUUAGUUGGUGGAGCGAUUUGUCUGGUUAAUUCCGAUAACGAACGAGACUCUAGCCGGUUAAGUAGCCCGAGCGGUUUUUGAUCUUUGCCGUUCAUCCUCGUUCGACCUUUAGGCGUCGUCCCCCUUUUGUUCGGCCCGUCUCCGUCGUUUUUCCUUUUCUCCGUUUCCUCUCGUCUUCCCGAUCGUCCGUCGGACUCGUUCGACGGUUUUCGUGGUUUUCGAGGGGUUUUCGGUCGGAGGGGGCGGCGGAGCGGUCCGUUCAGGGGGGUAUACGCGGGGCCGUUUCGAGGUGAAAGCAUAACCGAAGGCCGCCGGCUUUUAAGGAAGCUUCUUAGAGGGACGAGCGGCGUUCAGCCGCCCGAGAUUGAGCGAUAACAGGUCUGUGAUGCCCUUAGAUGUCCGGGGCCGCACGCGCGCUACACUGAAGGGUUCAGCGUGCUAGUUUCUCCCGGGCCGUCAGGCUCGGGGAACCCGUUGAAACCCUUUCGUGCUAGGGACAGGGACUUGCAAUUGUGUCCCUCCAACGAGGAAUUCCCAGUAAGCGCGAGUCAUCAGCUCGCGUUGAUUACGUCCCUGCCCUUUGUACACACCGCCCGUCGCUACUACCGAUUGAACGAUUUAGUGAGGUCUUCGGACCGGUGGUCGUUCCGCGAUCGGGUCAGGAAAACGGUCUCGCGCCCUUUCCUCCCGCGCGGGGUCGGCCGGCCGGGAAGAUGCCC
rnacentral:rRNA from 1 species